ensembl:lncRNA
UUGGCCUGAGGCUUUGUCUCUUGGGUUCUCCUUCUGUCUUCUCUCUCAUUUCUUCCUUCAGUGCUUCCAGCCUCAGCACUUCCUCUUUGGUUUGUACUCUGCUGGAACGUUUCUUUCAUGCCCUUUCUUGCUUCUGCUCAAUAAGGGCAACUUUAUCCAGACCUUCUAUGUGAUGUUAAUAUAUAAUAAGUGUAUUUUUCACUGGAGAUUCAUUUUCAAAGAAUGGCAUGUCCCUAACUCUAGUUCCUGUUCGAGAUUUGAAGCCUGCUUUUCUCUCCGUUCUUCUCACCCAGGGGCUUGUGCAUUUGGUGAACAUGUUCUGCACUGGAGCUGAGGAGAGAUGGAGAUUCGGCUUUGUCUUCUCAACGAUAUUAAUCCCUCAUGCAGUCACCUCUGUUCACUCAACAGUGAAGUCACCAAGUCCUUCUGUGCUUGGUUUUGGCUUUUUCUCUUCCCCUUCACACAUAUAGCCUGACGUCACAGAGUGUGCUGGGAAACUUUGCUCAAUCUCCCCAUCUGCUCAAAAAAUUUCCUGACUUUUGUAAGGCUACAUGCUCAUUCCCUAGUCCACAUCUCUCCAAAUUAGAAAGUUUUAAUGAACAUUCUUAGGGUUUUAUGAAUUCAUCUAUAUUGUUCCUACAUACUAUAUUCUGGACUGGGGCUGGGGACAGAGAUAGGAGAAUUAGUUGGGAGUUAUAGUCUAGCAUAUAAAAUCAGAUUUUUUUGUGUAUUUACUCAACUUUGCUUUGUGCUCUUUACUCCAACCUCUUUGCCUAAAAUAUGAAGUGUUUACAUUUUGAAACAUUCUUUCCAGCAUAAUUUUGUGAAUCCUUCAGAAAAGAGAUGCUCUUACAAACCCUCAGUUACAAAGUUGAGGGGUCAUAUGAGGAAGUAGUCAGGGGAAAUAGGCAAGUUGGAGUGAAGUCCUCUUAAGGACAAAGGAAAUGGGUAAGAGUGGCUUUAAAAAUGCUGCGGAGUGAGAGGAAAAGCAUCAGUAUGGAAACAGCUUGUUAACACUCGAUUACAGAGAAUUGAAGAUGGCAUCGGAUCCAUUGGUACGGGUUUAAGACUUGCUAUAAUUUGAAGCUCAGAAAUAAGAUCAAAUUACAGAAUGAACUUAGACAGUUACCCUUUUCCAUUUAGCUCUGCAUCAGUAGUCAGGAGUUUUUCAUCUCAGCCUCCUACCCUGACUUGUGGUAACUUCAGACACUAUGAGACUUAGAGAUUUGAAAUGUGAAGUAAUUGAUUUGCACACAAGCAUGUGCACACACUCACACACACACCCUUAUACUCAAGCACAAGUAUUUAUUUCUAAAGAUACAUCUAAUUUAUUGACAAGCAAGCUCUGAUACCCAGUGGCAGCAAGUGAAUUCAGGGUCUUGUCUUCCUCGCUUACUGGCUUUAUCUCUGCGUCCUUUUCUGUCUGCAAAGGUAUAAAUGUAAUAUGGUUGCAGUGAGUUGUAUAGCUUAACAACAC